rnacentral:rRNA from 1 species
CCCUUAGAUGUUCUGGGCCGCACGCGCGCUACACUGAUUCAUGCAACAAGUUUUGUCCUUGGCUGAUAGGCCUGGGUAAUCUUUGAACGUGAAUCGUGAUGGGGAUAGAUGAUUGCAAUUAUUCAUCUUCAACGAGGAAUUCCUAGUAAACGCAAGUCAUCAACUUGCAUUGAUUACGUCCCUGCCCUUUGUACACACCGCCCGUCGCACCUACCGAUUGAAUGGUCCGGUGAAAUCUUCGGAUCUGAGAGAUGUCUGAUUAAUUUCGGACGCCUUUUGGAAAAGUUGUUUAAACCUUACCAUUUAGAGGAAGGUGAAGUCGUAACA